GUAAAAAUAACAGCAAAACAAUUAAAAACAUCAACUCCUAAAUCAAGUAGCAUGUAAACUGCAUUAGUUUAAGUAAAUUAAAAAAUAGUUUUUGAUGAGACGAAAGAGCUGCAAGCAUUCAUUGGUUCUGGUCAAAGCUGUGACGCACACUCAUGCUGUAUUCAGUAUGGAUGCUGCUUAGUGCACUGCUACCCACCACUGUUACAAACACCACCGAUUGGCCUAAAAUGAUCAUCUAUGAGCGUUAUUUUUGUUUCUGUCUGACAGAGUGAGGUGAAAAUCAAGAUGACUGACAGCGGGGAUCUUUGUCCUCACUUGGACUCUAUUGGUGAAGUUACUAAGGAGGAACUGAUUCAGAAAUCAAAGGGCACAUGUCAAUCAUGUGGAGUAGGUGGACCCAACCUCUGGGCAUGUCUACAGUCUGACUGUCCCUAUGUAGGCUGUGGAGAAUCAUAUUCUGAUCACAGUACUAUACAUGCACAGGCCAAAAAACACAAUCUGACAGUAAACUUAACCACAUUCAGGGUGUGGUGUUAUGUCUGUGAAAGGGAGGUGUUUCUGGAACCAAAGCCUGCUACUCCUGUAUCAUUAGCUCACCGAUGCAAACCACAUGAACAGGAUCCUCUUCCCCAGACAACAUGUCACCCGUUAAAAGCAGUGCCUAUCGCAGUGGCGGAUGAAGAAGGCUCAGAAUCUGAGGAGGAUGAGCUCAAACCCAGAGGUCUCACAGGGAUGAAGAACAUUGGGAACUCCUGUUACAUGAAUGCUGCAUUGCAAGCUCUGUCCAACUGUCCUCCUUUGACUCAGUUUUUCCUGGAUUGCAGUGGCUUGGUCCGUACGGAUAAGAAGCCGGCGUUGUGUAAAAGCUAUCAGAAGCUUAUCUCUGAGCUCUGGCACAAGAAACGGCCAAGUUAUGUUGUACCCACUAGUCUGUUUCAUGGAAUCAAACUGGUGAACCCCAUGUUUCGUGGCUAUGCUCAACAGGACACUCAGGAGUUUUUGCGAUGUCUGAUGGACCAACUUCAUGAGGAGCUGAAGGAGCCUUUGUCUGACUGCAGUGGUGCAAUCUUAGAUGUCGAGCCUGACCACAACCUUGACAACCGUAAUCAUGUUGAUGGAGACCGAAGCCCCUCUGAAGAUGAGUUCCUGUCAUGUGACUCUGGAUCGGGAAGCGAGAGAGGAGAUGGAGAGAGGGCAGGAGGAGAAGCAGAGCUUCUCAUCCAAGAUGAAUGUGUCGGAGUGAGAGGAAGCGGAGGAAUCUCGGAGAAGGAGAGACUGAAGGAGAGAAGAGGAGAAGAGAGGACACGGGAAAUGGAUGAGGAUGCAGAUGUGGACACGGCUGCACAAGAGGGGCAGGCAGAGAGAGAAACAGAAGCAACAACUACAACCACAACUAUACCGGCACCAGGAAAUACAGAACCUGAUAAUGAAGUUUCCAUGCAUUGUUCGUCCUCUCGUCCCUGUAGCCCCACUCACAAUGUGCAGGAACUCCACUCCAGACUCUCCAGCAGCCCACCAAGAUCCAGCCCCCUCAGAGCUGGACCCACUUAUACGUUCAAGAAAGCUCAGAUGCUCCUAAGCACCAAGAAGAAGAAGCAGUCCCGUUUCCGGAGUGUUAUUUCAGAUAUUUUUGACGGAUCCAUUCUGAGUCUCGUUCAGUGUUUGACUUGUGACCGGGUUUCAACAACCGUGGAGACCUUUCAGGACCUCUCUUUGCCUAUUCCGGGUAAAGAGGAUUUGGCCAAACUCCAUUCCUCCAUUCACCAGAGUGCUCCUGUUAAAGCUGGUGUCUGCACAGAUGGCUAUGCCGCCCAGGGCUGGAUCUCUUACAUCAUGGAAUCUAUACGAAAGUUUGUAGUGUCCUGUAUUCCCAGUUGGUUUUGGGGCCCAAUGGUAACACUGGAGGACUGCCUGGCAGCCUUCUUCGCUGCUGAUGAGCUGAAAGGAGACAACAUGUACAGCUGUGAACGAUGUAAAAAAUUGAGAAAUGGUGUAAAAUACUGUAAAGUUCUACGUCUGCCAGAAAUAUUGUGCAUUCACCUGAAGCGUUUCAGGCAUGAAGUCAUGUACUCAUUCAAGAUAAAUAGCCAUGUGUCAUUCCCAUUGGAGGGUUUGGAUCUUAAGCCCUUCUUGGCUAAGGAGAGCCCUUCUCAGAUUACUACCUACGACCUACUGUCUGUCAUCUGUCAUCACGGCACUGCUGGGAGUGGUCACUACAUAGCGUACUGUCAGAAUGUGAUCAAUGGACAGUGGUACGAGUUUGACGAUCAGUAUGUAACAGAAGUGCACGAGACAGUAGUGCAGAACGCUGAAGCGUAUGUUCUCUUCUACAGGAAGAGCAGUGAGGAAUCUGUGAGAGAGAGACAGAAGGUCGUCGCGCUGGCUAAUUUAAAGGAGCCGAGUCUGCUGCAAUUCUACAUCUCCAGAGAAUGGCUCAACAAGUUCAACACAUUCACUGAGCCCGGACCCAUCACCAACCACACCUUCCUCUGUCAGCAUGGAGGAAUCCCUCCUACUAAGUACCAUUAUGUGGAUGAUCUGGUUGUGAUCCUUCCCCAAAAUGUUUGGGAAUACCUCUACAACAGGUUUGGGGGAGGCCCAGCUGUGAAUCACUUAUACGUGUGUGCCAUCUGCCAAGUAGAGAUCGAGACUUUAGCCAAACGGCGGAAACUGGAGAUAGACACCUUCAUCAAGUUAAAUAAGGAAUUUCAAGCUGAAGAAGCGCCUACAGUCAUCCUGUGUAUCAGCAUGCAGUGGUUCAGAGAAUGGGAGAACUUUGUCAAGGGCAAAGACAAUGGUAGAGUCUCAUACAAACAGAAGCCGCCAGGCCCUAUUGACAACAGCAAGAUUGCAGUAAUGAAAGGCGGACAUAUCCAGCUUAAACAAGGAGCAGACUACGGGCAAAUAUCUGAAGAAACGUGGCAGUACUUGUUAAGUAUUUAUGGCGGUGGGCCAGAGAUUGCAGUGCGGCAAACCAUCAGCCCCCCAGACACUGACAUGCAUGGUGAGAGAAAGAUAGAAGCAGAGACAAGAGCCCUCUGAAAUGGCUGAAGAAAGGACAGCGCAGGAGGAGGAGGAGAGAAGGAUGCAGAGAGCUGCAGACCACCCAUCUGAGCGCCUGUGUUGUCUGCUGGAGAAAGGAUUGUAAUUUUCUUCCCAGAGCUGAACGGCGGUCCGAGUGAACACCUCAGAGACUUUAGCAACAAUAGCGACAAUGAUCAGCGUCACACCCAGGAUUCACUGGGUCGGAGGACACAGCUUCACCGAUCUUUGACUAUGGCAAAAUACGGACUGCAUUAGCUUCCGAUAUUCUAUACGCUCAGAGCGUAAUGUGAGUUCAAAGUGACCUAAAAAUAGAGGUGUGGUACUGCAUUUCUGAGAUAAACACUCAUCUCCAAUAUCAUAUUCCAGUUUGUCAAGUUUCUUCUAACCGACACUAAGAGAUAAAUAUUACUGACCGUGUCCCAAUAUUUGCACUGACCUCGUAAGCUUGUUACCUUUCAGUAAUUCCUCGGCGAUCUUUGGUCUAGUCCUGAUUUGUGUGCGACCUGCGAUGCACACGCUACAACAAUUUGACUCAUGGUCCUUCUGUCUUUUCUUGUCUCAGUGUAUCCUUUUCAGUUUUCAUCUUGCACUCCACCUUAUAAUUGUCAUUACCUCCAGGCGAGGGUUUGAACAAAACAUUUCUGGGUAAACCUACUUAGCUUUCUCACGCUCACUCUCUUUUCUUUCCAUAUAGGUAUUUUUACACAGACACACUCACAGUUUGCCAUCGUAUGUUACCUCCAACGACGAGUCCACGCUGCUGUUAACCAGCGAUUAUGUGACAGCUAGUGCUUGAAUUAGUAAUUGCCUCUUCACUGCAGACAUGUGUUACAGUGUGUACCUUUUAAAAGGUUAUGUCAUAUAGGGUGUUUUCUGUUCAAGACAGCAAUUAGCAUCUGGAUGUAACAUGGGUUGUGCUAUCUGCACGCAGUUGAUUGAUAUGUGGAGCGUGUCUGGCUCACGAAGAGGCCAGACAUCAAUGGAUAUGUCUCAUUUGCCGGAGGUCACUCAGCAGGACUACCACAGACUCUCAGGCCUCCACUAUACUUCCUCUUUCUCUGAUGUGGAAGACUGUUGUGAUGACAUCACAAGCACAAGCUCAUCCUCGUCGGAUUAUCUCGGAAUAGACUGUUGACACUUGUCGUGGACUUUUGUGGGUUACUCACACCUUGUGCCAAAUAUUGCCAUUCUUUUUGGCUCCAAAUUCUGUCACUGACAGUGUGACAAUGAAAUAUGCUUAGUCUGCGCAAAUUAAACUAAUGAGGUCCUUGACUGUGUGGAAAGGGGUUCUGCUCUCAACCACAAUGCUCCGCAGUUCAGUUCCUGCUCAAUUUGAGCAACAAACCCAUUAUUGUCAGGGGAACGCAAUUAUGGAUGCUGAAAUUGGAUCUUUUUCAUUUAGAAUCAUGUUUCUUUUAUCAUUCUGGAUAAAAGAACCCUGGUUUGGAAAUUGGAAUGUGCAUUCUACAAAUAAAGCAUAUGAUUAAUUGAUGUAAAGAAACUAUCACAUGGGAGGAGCAAAAUCCUUCAAAAUGAACAUUGUGAUAAAAUGAUGCUGUUCUAUUAGGCCUAAUGCAUCAAAAAAAAAA